rnacentral:rRNA from 1 species
UACGUAGGGGGCAAGCGUUGUCCGGAAUCAUUGGGCGUAAAGAGCGCGUAGGCGGUCCGGUAAGUCAGCUGUGAAAGUCAGGGGCUCAACCCUUGAAAGCCGGUUGAUACUGUCGGGCUAGAGUCCGGAAGAGGCGAGUGGAAUUCCCGGUGUAGCGGUGAAAUGCGCAGAUAUCAGGAGGAACACCCGUAGCGAAGGCGGCACUCUGGGCCGAUACUGACGCUGAGGAGCGAAAGCGUGGGGAGCGAACAGG